UCGGAGGGUGUGUGGAGAUUUGUCUCCAAUGUAUCUCUCGGGAUUCAGUUGGUGUUUGUCUUUGCUGGAUUCACGUGGAUCCGGUAUCUUUUCGUGUGUCUAAAGAUUGGAUCCUUUUGAUCCAAGCUUCUCUUCGAUGGCGAGGGUUGCUGUUUUGGUGCGCUGGUUGAUGGUGUCCUCGAUUAGGGGUUACUCACCAUGUUAUCUCCCAGUCAGAAAGGUCGGGCCGAGGACCCCCAUGACGGUUCAUUAACCGGACACUUGGAGAGGCCCAUGUCACAUACAAGGGAGGUUCCACAAGAGUUGACGCACAAGACGAGGACUCCUGUUACCCGUGGCUUCGAAUGCAUUAUAUAAACUGAGGCUAGACUAGUCUUACACAACAUUCUCCUGUUAGAUACACGUACUCUCAUCAACACAAUUCCUAGGUGGAAAUUUGUGCAUAGCAACCUUUUGAGAAUCAUUGAACUUUUAUGCUAGCUUUUUCUUUUUCUUUUCUCAGAUUGAGACACAUGCUUUUUAGGCGACAUUUUUAUAGAAAAGGAGCAUGAACACCUGAAUCGUGAGUGGAAAAAUUGAAGAAAUNNNNNNNNNNNNNNNNNNNNNNNNNNNNNNNNNNNNNNNNNNNNNNNNNNNNNNNNNNNNNNNNNNNNNNNNNNNNNNNNNNNNNNNNNNNNNNNNNNNNCGUCAUCCUUCAUGGGUUGUAUGAGAUCUUCCUUUUGACGCAAGCCCAUGGAAGCACACCUAACCCCCACAUAGGACUCUCACAAAGACCAUGGGUUAGUACACAAACACGUAAUGGACAAUGCUUACCAUACCAUGGGAUCACUUGAUCCCUCUCGGUACAUCUUAUACGCUUUGUGUGUUGAUCAUCUUGAUUUACUCUUUGUCUGAGAUCUUGUUCAACCUAGUGUCUCUAUGACCAUUCUUUGGAUAAUACCUUGAAUACCAUCUUGGUCAUCAUAUAAACUCCUUGAACCCAACAGAUGGACUUCAAGAAGUGCCUAUGGACAAAUCCUAUAAAUAUAACUAAAGGCAACCAUUAGUCCAUAGGAAUUGCCAUCAAUUACCAAAACCACAUAUGGAGAUAUAUGCUCUAACACUCCUCAUCAUUGUACAUACUAGUUAAAAAAUUCUUCAUCAUUUUAGGUAAAAUAGCAUAAAAAGAUGAACUCCUCAUCAUUCUAGUUGUUAUUAUAGUAGCAAAUGACCAAGUUAUCACAAUGUUGAAACACUAACUACUACUCUCUCCUAGGUAAAAAAGCAAAAUAAAGACGAACUCCGACAUCUCCGUAUUGAUGAACACAGAUCAACCUAUCUCCAACUUGUGGGAUGCGCAAAGAUUCCUCUCCAAAUGGUAUCAUAGAUGCUUGUAUUGCAUUUCUCCAUCCUUUGAUUUUCAGAGUGUCUUCACUUUGAGAUAUCCUAUAUUUACCACGGUAAAUAAUAGGUGUUGGUCGUAAGCUAACCAUUUCCAAAUCACCGGUGGUAAACAUCCAUUUAGGCACGGUCUCUGGGGGGAGUACCUGUUAGUAAUAAUAAUAUAGUUAGCAAAAUAGUUUUGCUUAAGACCAAUGUAUAAAAAAGAUGGAUUAGUGAUGCAAUGGUAUAAAAAAUCUUACAAAGUUGUUUGAAGUGAUGUUACGAGGGCUCAACUGGUGCACUAGUGGCACAUAUUCAUGAUAAAUGUUGUCAGUCAUGUAAAUUUUUAGCAUGAUUGUCAACAUCAUGAAUAAAUGAGAUGAGAUGAUUUUCUCCAACCAAGUAAGGUUGGAGCCAAAACUGUAGUAGGUUUGAUCUACUAUCUUCCGUGUAGUUCUUGUAGCAUGGAAAUAAGCUAAUAAUUGAAAAUAAACAAAUUUAAUCGGGAUGAGUACAAGAUACUUUUCAGUAAUUAAUAAAAAAUACCUAAAUUUCUAUAUUAUUAUCACGGACAUCAUCAUUACCAAGAUCGAAGGUAAUGUUCAUGUCCUCAUUCAACCAUAUGCCUUGCAAAAUGCUCUCCAAUUAGAACAACCAAAAUAUGUGUGAUCUACAUCAUUUUUUACCUUGACAACAAAAGUGAAAUGUUUUGUUCUUAGGUGAGCUAUUUUAGGUCGUGUGCUAUCCUUCUCUUUAAAAUGAAACUUGUCCAAGACAGCAAAUCUUGCAUGACAGGGAACGCACUAGUCGAUUUGUACAAAAGAAAAUUAAAGGUUAACUAAAGCAAAAAAAACACGUCAUACUUGACUAACAAAAAAUACAUGUCGUCUUUACAUACCGUAAUAAUCGAGAAGUCAUCCGUCAGCUUGACGGUAAAGGACGUAUCGUUAUCUAGGUGAGGAUAACGAUCGCAUAUACCCCUAUCAUCCCAGCACAAAUGGCACGCAGGGAUCCUAUCGUCAUCGGAUCAUGACAUUCCCUGUGUUCAUAAUUCUAUAUAAGAUUAAAAAUCACAGACAUUGGACAAAUAAAACAUAUCCUAAAGGUACAACAACAACAAAAUAAAAAUCAUACAAUGAUGGACCUGUCGACACUAAGAAGUUUAUUUUUUUCUAGCAACAAAGUCAAAAGCGUUUGUCCUGCAAUAGAUCUCAAGAGGCAAAAAUAUUCUCUUUUGGUUACAACCAAUAAUCAACUUAAUAUAUCUCAAAUAUUAUCGAAUAUAAUCUCGAAUACAUCUCUAGUAUAAUCUAGUUCACUUGCGGUUCCUAAUCAAACGGAUCACCCAAAGAGUUGCCGUUGUAUUGAGGCGCGGGCGGUGGACACCCGCAUAGAAGGAACCAUCACAGGAUGAUAGCUCGGGUGAGAUCCGUGAAGAACCUGCCAGAUAUUGGAGAACCUCGCGUCCAACGCAACCAAGUAACAACGUACAUGCUCGUCCUCCUCCCUGACACGGGAAGUACCUCCUCCUCGGCGGUCGACUGCCUCCGCACCGAAACUAGCCCACGCGACCGCCACCAAAGAAGCUCUGGGUCAACAACGGGAGUCUGGUUCCUCACCAAGAUUCGUGCCCUAGAAGGUAGCACCUCCCAGUGUCAGCCCGACGGAGCCCAGUCCCGAACAUGUUGGCGCCUCUCAAGUAGGUUGUCGCCACCGAGUCGACGACGAGGAUACAUGACGGGCAUCGUCGACGUCGAGAACAAUUUCUAAAACUAUUUAAAGUCCUACUAUUUAAAGAAUAAAUCCGGAAUUAAUAAAUGUCGCUGAUGAUUUGUUUUCAAAUUCCAAUUUAGGUAGCAGCAGGAUAGAGAAACAAAUACGUACUAGGAUGCUAUGAGCAUCAAAACUUUAAAGAAAGGACAAACAAAAAUGCAGAGUAAUUAUUUGUUGGGGAACGUCGCAUGGGAAACAAAAAAUUUCCUACACGCACGAAGACCUAUCAAGGUGAUGUCCAUCUACGAGAGGAGAUUUGGAUCUACGUACCCUUGUAGAUCGCACAGGAGGAAGUGUUAAGAAACGCGGUUGAUGUAGUGGAACGUCCUCACGUCCCUCGAUCCGCCCCGCGAACCAUCCCACGAACCGUCUCGCGAUCCGCUCCGAUCUAGUGCCGAACGGACAGCACCUCCGCGUUCAGCACACGUACAGCUCGACGAUGAUCUCGGCCUUUUUGAUCCAGCAAGCAAGACGGAGAAGUAGAUGAGUUCUCUGGCAGCAUGACGGCGCUCUGGUGGUGGUGAAGGAUCUACUCCUGCAGGGCUCCGCCCGAGCUCCGAAGAAAUACGAUCUAGAGGAAAAACCGUGAUGUUUUGUGGUCGGGCUGGCGUGGCAAAGUUGUCUCAAAUCAGCCCUAGACCUUCACUAUAUAUAGGAGGAGGGGUGGGGAGACUUGCCUUGGAGUCCAAGACCCCAAGAGCCCGCCGGCCAAGGAGGUGGAGGAGUCCACCUCCAAUCCUAGUCCAACUAGGAUUGGAAGGUGGAGUCCUUCCCUUCCUUCCCACCUCUUUUUUUUCCUUUGAUUUCUUAUCUCCUGUGCAUAGGGCCUCUUGGGCUCUCCCACCAUCCCACUAAGGGCUGGUGCGGCACCCCUAAGGCCUAUGGGCUUCCCCCGGGUGGGCUCCCCCCCCCCGGUGAACAUCCGGAACCCAUUCGUCACUCCCGGUACAUUCCCGGUAAUGUCCAAAAACUUUCCAGUAAUCGAAUGAGGUCAUCCUAUAUAUCAAUCUUCGUCUCCAGACCAUUCCAGAAACCCUCAUGACGUCCGUGAUCUCAUCCGGGACUCCGAACAACAUUNNNNNNNNNNCACAUAUAACUCAACUAUACUAAAACAUCGAUGAACCUUAAGUGUGCAAACCCUACGGGUUCGAGAACUAUGCAGACAUGCCCCGAGGUACUCCUCGGUCAAUAUCCAAUAGCGGGACCUGGAUGCCCAUAUUGGAUCCUCCAUAUUCUCCGAAUAACUUAUCGGUUGAAUCUCAGUGUCAAGGAUUCAGGCAAUCCCGUAUGUCCUUCCCUUUGUCCUUCGGUAUGUUACUUGCCCGAGAUUGGAUCGUCGGUAUCCGCAUACCUAUUUCAAUCUCGUUACCGGCAAGUCUCUUUUCUCGUUCCGUAAUAUAAGAUCACGUGACUUACACUUAGUCACAUUGCUUGCAAGGCUUGUGUGUGAUGUUGUAUUACCGAGAGGGCCCCGAGAUACCUCUCCGUCAUACGGAGUGAAAAAUCUCAGUCUUGAUCCAUACUAACCCAACGGACACCUUCUGAGAUACCUGUAGAGCACCUUUAUAGUCACCCAGUUACGUUGGGACGUUUGAUGCACACAAGGCAUCCCUCCGGUGCCAAUGGAUUAUAUGAUCUCGUGGUCAUAGGAACAAAUACUUGACACGCGGAAAAUAAUAGCAAUAAAAUGACACGAUCAAUAUGCUACGUUCAUAGUUUGGGUCUAGUCCAUCACAUGAUUCUCCUAAUGAUGUGAUCCCGUCAUCAAGUGACAACACUUGCCUAUGGUUAGGAAACCUUGACCAUCUUUGAUCAACGAGCUAGUCAACUAUACAAUGUUUUGUCUAUGUAUCCACACAUGCACUGUGUUAACAAUCAAUACAAUUAUAGCAUGGAUAGUAAACGAUUAUCAUGAACAAAAAAGUAUAAUAAUAACUAAUUUAUUAUUGCCUCUAGGGUAUAUUUCCAACAGUCUCCCACUUGCACUAGAGUCAAUAAUCUAGUUCACUUCACCAUGUGAUUCCAACGAAUCCAACACCCAUAUAGUCAUGGGGUCUGAUCACGUCUUGCUUGUGAGAGCGGUUUUAGUCAACGGUUCUGAAACUUUUAGACCCGUGUGUUCUUUACAAAUCUUCAUGUCAUCUUAUAGAUGCUGCUACUAUGUGCUAUUCGGAAAUACUCCAAAUAUCUACUCUACUAUACGAAUCCGUUUCACUACUCAUAGUUAUUCGGAUUAGUGUCAAAGCUUUCAUCGACGUAACCCUUUACGACGAACUCUUUAACCACCUCCAUAAUCGAGAAAAAUUCCUUAGUCCAUCAGUUACUAAGGAUAAAUUUUGACCGCUGCUAGUGAUUCAAUCAUGGAUCACUCUCUGUACCUCUCAACAGACUUUGAGUCAAGGCACACAUCAGGUGUGGUACCCAGCAUGGCAUACUUCAGAUUCUACGGCCAAGGCAUAGAAGACGACCUUCGUCUAUUCUCUUUAUUUUGCCGGGGUCGGGUUUUGAGUCUUACUCAAAUUCACACCUCACAACGCAACCAAGAACUCCUUCUUUGCUGAUCUAUUUUGAACUCCUUCAAAAACUUGUCAAGGCAUGGAUCUUGUUGAAACUUCCAUUAAGCGCUUUCGAUCUAUCUCCAUAGAUCUUUGAUGCUCAACGUUCAAGUAGCGCAAUCCAGGUACUCCUUUGAAAACUCCUUUCAAACAACCUUGUAUGCUUUACAGAAAUUCUAUAUUACUUCUGAUCCACAAUAUGUCAACCACAUAUACUUAUCAGAAAUUCUAUAGUGCUCCCACUCACUUCUUUGGAAAUACAAGUUUCUCAUAAACCUUGUACAAACCGAAAAUCUUUGAUCAUCUCAUCAAAGUGUAUAUUCCAACUCCGAGAUGCUUGCACCAGUCCAUUGAAGGAUCGCUGGAGCUUGCAUACUUGCUAGUAUCUUUAGGAUCGACAAAACCUCCUGGUUGUAUCACAUACAAUGUUUGCUCAAGGAAACCGUCGAGGAAACAAUGUUUUGACAUCCUAUGUGCAAUAUUUCAUAAAUAAUGCAAAAACUACUAACAUAAUUCUAACAGACUUUUAGCAUCGCUACGAGUGAGAAAGUCUCAUCAUAGUCAACUGUUUGAUCUUGUCGGAAACAUCUUUGCGACAAGUCGAGCUUUUCUUAAUAGUGACUUAUCACCAUCAUCGUCUGUCUUCCUUUUAAAGAUCCAUCUUUACUCAACAGUCCUAUGACCAUCAAGUAGUUCUUCCAAAGUCUACACUUUGUUUUCAUACAUGGAUCCUCUCUCGGAUUUCAUGGCUUCCAGCCAUUUGUCGGAAUCCGGGCCCACCAUUGCUUUCUCCAUAACUCGUAGGUUCACUGUUGCUCAACAACAUGACCUCCAAGACAGGGUUACCAUACCAAUCUGCAGUAGUACGCGACCUAGUCAACCUACGAGGUUUGUAGUAACUUGAUCCGAUGCUCAAUGAUCACCAUCAUCAGCUUUCACUUCAAUUGGUGUAGGCGCCACAGGAAUAACUUCCUGCGCCCUGCUACACACUGGUUAAAGCGAUGGUUCAAUAACCUCAUUAAGUUCUACCACCCUCCCACUCAAUACUUUCGAGAUAAACCUUUCCUCGAGAAAGGAUCCGUUUCUAGGAACAAACACUUUGCUUUCGGAUCUGAGAUAGGAGAUGUACCCAACUGUUUUGGAUAUCCUAUGAAGAUGCAUUUAUCCGCUUUGGGUUUGAGCUUAUUCGACUGAAACUUUUUUCACACAAGUGUCGAAGCCCCAAACUUUCAAGAAACGACAGUUUAGAUUUCUCUAAACCUCAGUCUAUACUGUGUCAUCUCAACGGAAAUACGCGGUGCCCUAUUUAAAGUGAAUGCGGUUGUCUCUAAUGCAUAACCCAUAAACGAUAGUGGUAAUUCGAUAAGAGACAUCAUAGCAUGCACCAUACCAAAUAGUGUGUGGCUAUGACGUUCAGACACAUCAUCACACUAUGAUGUUCCAGGUGGCAUGAACUGCGAAACAAUUUCCACAUUGUCUUAACUGCGUACCAAAACUCGUGACUCAGAUAUUCAUUUCUAUGAUCAUAUCGUAGACAGUUUAUCCUCUUGUUAUGACGAACUUCACUCCGAAACAGAAUUGAACUUUUCAAUAUUUCAAACUUGUGAUUCAUUAAGUAAAUACUCUUGUAUCCACUCAAAUCGUCAUUGAAGUAAGAACAUAAUGAUAUCCACUGCGUGCCUCAGCACCCAUUGGACUGCAUACAUAAAAAAUGUAUCACUUCCAACAAGUUACUAUCUUGUUUCAUCUCAAUGAAAACAAGGCCUUGCUCAUGUGGUAUGAUUUGCAUGUCACUAGUGAUUCAAAAUCAAGUGAGUAUAAAGAUCCAUCAGCAUGGAGCCUCUUCAUGCAAUUUACACCAACAUGACUCAAGCGGCAGUGCCACAAGUAAGUGGUACUAUCAUCAUUACCUCGUAUCUUUUGGCACCAAUAUCAUGAACAUGUGUAACACUACGAUCGAGAUUCAAUAAACCAUUGAAGGUGAUUAUUCAAGAAAAUAGAGUAACCAUUAUUCUAUUUAAAUGAAUAAUCGUAUUGCAAUAAACACGAUCCAAUCAUGUUCAUGCUUAACGCAAGCACCAAAUAAAAAUUAUUUCGGUUUAACACCAAUCCCGAUGGUAGAGGGAGCGUGCGACGUUUGAUCAUAUCAACCUUGGGAACACUUCCAACACGUAUCGUCACCUCGCCUUUAGCUAGUCUCCGUUUAUGCCUUAGCUUUCAUUUCGUGUUACUAAUCACUUAGCAACCGAACCGGUAUCCAAUACCCUCGUGCUACUAGGAGUACUAGUAAAGUACACAUCAACAUCAUGUAUAUCAAAUAUACUUCUUUCGACUUUUGCCAGCCUUCUUAUCUACCAAGUAUCUAGAGUUGCUCCGCCUCAGUGACCGUUCCCCUCAUAACAGAAGCACUUAGUCCCGGGCUUGGGUUUAAUCUGGGUCUAUUCAUUACUGCAGCAACUGUUUUGCCGUUUCGUGAAGUAUCCCUUCUAGCCCUUGCCUUUCUUGAAACUUAGUGGUUUUACUAACCAUCAACUAUUGAUCUCCUUCUUGAUUUCUACUUUCGCAGUGUCAAACAUCGCGAAUCGCUCAAGGAUCAUCGUAUCUAUCCUUGAUAUGUUAUAGUUCAUCACGAAGCUCUCACAGCUUGGUGGCAGUGACUUUGGAGAACCAUCACUAUCUCAUCUAGAAGAUUAACUCCCACUUGAUUCAAGUGAUUGUGGUACUCAGACAAUCUGAGCACACGCUCAACGAUUGAGCUUUUCUCCUUUACUUUGUGGACAAAGAAUCUUGUCGGAGGUCUCGUACCUCUUAACAAGGGCACAAGCAUGAAAUCACAAUUUCAUCUCUUUAGAACAUCACUUAUGUUCCGUGACGUUUCAAAACGUCUUCGGCGCCUUGCUUCUAAGCCAUUAAGUAUUUUGCAGUGAACUAUCGUGUAGUCAUCAGAAACGUGUAUGUCGGAUGUUCACAACAUUCACAGACGACGCUCGAGGUGCAGCACACGGAGUGGUGCAUUAAGGACAUAAGCCUUCUGCGCAGCAAUGAGGACAAUCCUCUGCAAAGUUUGCUACUAUCAACUUUCAACUAAAUUUUCUCUAGGAACACAUAAAAACAGUAGAGCUAUAGCACAAGCUACAUCGUAAUUCGCAAAGACCAUUAGACUAUGUUCAUGACAAUUAGUUCAAUUAAUCAUAUUACUUAAGAACUCCCACUCAAAAAGUACAUCUCUCUAGUCAUUUGAGUGGUACAUGAUCCAAAUCCACUAUCUCAAGUCCGAUCAUCACGUGAAUCGAGAAUAGUUUCAGUGGUAAGCAUCUCUAUGCUAAUCAUAUCAACUAUACGAUUCAUGCUCGACCUUUCGGUCUCAUGUGUUCCGAGGCCAUGUCUGCACAUGCUAGGCUCGUCAAGCUUAACCCGAGUGUUCCGCGUGUGCAACUGUUUUGCACCCGUUGUAUGUGAACGUUGAGUCUAUCACACCCGAUCAUCACGUGGUGUCUCGAAACGUAGAACUGUCGCAACGGUGCACAGUCGGGGAGAACACAAUUUCGUCUUGAAAUUUUAGUGAGAGAUCACCUCAUAAUGCCACCGUCGUUCUAAGCAAGAUAAGGUGCAUAAAGGAUUAACAUCACAUGCAAUUCAUAAGUGACAUGAUAUGGCCAUCAUCAUGUGCUUCUUGAUCUCCAUCACCAAAGCACCGGCACGAUCUUCUUGUCACCGGCGUCACACCAUGAUCUCCAUCAUCAUGAUCUCCAUCAACGUGUCGCCANNNNNNNNNNNNNNNNNNNNNNNNNNNNNNNNNNNNNNNNNNNNNNNNNNNNNNNNNNNNNNNNNNNNNNNNNNNNNNNNNNNNNNNNNNNNNNNNNNNNAGAGAUUUGUCUCCAAUGUAUCUCUCGGGAUUCAGUCGAUGUUUGUCUUUGCUGGAUCCAAGUGGAUCCGAUAUCUUUUCGUGUGUCUAAAGAUUGGAUCCUUUUGAUCUAAGCUUCUCUUUGAUGGCGACGGUUGCUGUUUUGGUGCGCUGGUUGAUGGUGUCCUCGAUUAGGGGUUACUCACCAUGUUGUCUCCCAAUCAGGAAGGUCGGGCCGAGGACCCCCAUGACGGUUCAUUAACCGGACACUUGGAGAGGCCCAUGACACAUACAAGGGAGGUUCCACAAGAGUUGACGCACAAGACGAGAACUCCUGUAACCCGUGGCCUUGAGUGCAUUAUAUAAACUGAGGCUAGACUAGUCUUACACAACAUUCUCCUGUUAGAUACACGUACUCUUUACUAUACCCCAUAUCAAUACAAUCGAAAGCAGGGCAUAGGAUAUUAUCUUCUCGAGAAAACUCGAACUUGGGUAAAAUCCCGUGACCAUGUUACCAUCACUCCAAGACGUCUAGCUUAGGACCCCUACCUCGAGAUAUGCCGGAUUUAACAACGACACUGGUCCUAUUGGGCCUUAGCACGACGACUUUUUGACUGUCUACUACAACAAAAUUUGUCCGGCUCCAGUAGGGAGGGGCAGUGACGACGGUGCGCCUUCGGCUCGCUUCAUUGUUUGUAUUUGUCACUAGGUGAUGUACGUUUUCAGAUGUAAUUUUAUUAUUUAUGGUAUCAGGGCCGGUCCUGACUUUUCAGGGGCCCGUGGCAAACCUAAAAAGUGGGCCUACUGGUGAAAAAAAUUCAAUUAUAUCGAUCCAAUCUAAUGAAUUCUCAUCAACACAAUUCAUAGGUGGAAAUUUGUGCAUAGCAACCUUUUGAGAAUCAUUGAACUUUUAUGCUAGCUUUUUCUUUUUCUUUUCUCAGAUUGAGACACAUGCUUUUUAGGCGACAUUUUUAUAGAAAAGGAGCAUGAACACCUGAAUCGUGUGAGGAAAAAUUGAAGAAAUCCAGCUAUUUAAUCCCAAGCAUAUCGGAUAUUGUUAGGGUCUUCGUAUCCUCAAAUUAACAGCCUGUACAGGAAGAGAAGAUCGGUCAGGGAGUCGCUAGAAAACCUCCCAAAAAGAAUACAAACAUGAAGCAGAAAAGGACUCCGUGGGAUAAAGUUGAUCCAUUUUGCCGGGCUUAAAUUAUUCUUAAUGUGACAGAAACCCUACCAGAGAAUCAGUUCCAUGGAUGUUGGAUCUACAAUAACACACCUUCCUGUCAAAUUUUCAUGGUUUCUUAGCGAGCACAAACCCAUCACCGAGCAUGAGCUUGUCCACAUCUCAACUCGUCGGCAAGAGAACACAUGAAAAGUUUAGUAAUAGUUCUAUAGUCAUAACCUGAUGACCAACAGGGGCAACAUACAAAAGGUGUACAAGGUUUGGAUAUAUAUAAAGACAAAGAGUGGGC
rnacentral:lncRNA from 1 species